rnacentral:lncRNA from 1 species
AAAAAAAAAAAAAUUUAUCGACUUUUAUCACAACUAGAAAAAGCAAGAAAGAAAGUAAAAAAUCUUUAAUAAAUGGGUAAAAUAAGCCAACCCAGGUUUCGCCGGAGACAGGGGUCUUCGUUAGCGGAGGUUGCCGGAGUGGUGUGAUGAGGGCCAGAGUUGGAACGAUGAGGUCCGAAGUUGUUCCCAAUCUCCAGAUCUGGUUUGGGGGUUCUCCAUCAGAUCUGGUUUUUGUUUAGGAGAGAUUAGAUCUGAACAUAAACAAGGGUUUAGGGGACCACCGCCGCAAACACCGUGCCACCGCGCCGUGAAACAGAAGCACCACCGCCGCCGUCACGGGUGGCAUUGCCGUCGCCGACUCCGCCUCCUCUCUCUCUCACUGUGCUUCUGUUUCUGUUCUCCGUCUCUGUCGUCGCUGUGUGUCGCCACCACCACAGUGGUGGCCGGUCGUUCAGUUGAGCAGGGGUGGGGGGAGGGGUUGAGUGGUGAGCGAAGAUGAGAGGGUUUUGGUUUGCUUUAUGUGAAGAUCUGGAUUUACAUAGAGAGGAGAUGGGAUUUUGAAUUUUUUAAGAAU